UACACACCGCCCGUCACACCAUGGGAGUCGAUUGCUCCAGAAGUGGCUACGCCAACCCGCAAGGGAGGCAGGCCCCCAAGGAAGUGGUUGGUAACUGGGGUG
rnacentral:rRNA from 1 species